AAAAAACUUUUCAUCUCCUUGAUUAGAACUUUGUGCCCUAAUCUAUCUAUAGUUCCUUCACAAAGCUGUAACAGAGAACCAUCGUGAGUUCAUACUCCACCGUGAGGACGGUUCAUCCACCACCGUGAGUUCAUCCUCCAUCAUCAGGAUGGUUCGUCCUCCACACCGUGAGUUCAUCCUGCACCGACAUCAAGCUACAGCACCACCGUGAGUUCCAGAUCAAGGGAAAGGAUUCCAUAAAGAUCUUAUAAAGCUGAUCUCAGAUGCUGUGAACAUCCCUGUGAUCGCUAGUAGUGGUGCAGGAGCAGUUUGAACACUUCUCGGAGGUUUUCACUAAAACAAAUGCAUCUGCUGCUCUUGCUGUUGGCAUUUUCAAUCGGAAGGAGCUAUCGAAUUAGGCUGCCCACUGAGAAGGAGCAGGAAAUGGUUGUUUCAAAGGUUGUUAAGAAAAUGCGGUACUAUGAAUCCACCCUCCUAUCUACAAACAAGGGAUACUUGCAGAGGUUGAUAGCCUUAGGAC